UACGGAGGGUGCAAGCGUUGUUCGGAAUUAUUGGGCGUAAAGAGCACGUAGGCGGAUUUGUAUGUCGAUUGUGAAAGCCCAGGGCUCAACCUUGGAAUUGCAGUCGAAACUGCGGAUCUUGAAUACUUGAGAGGGUGGGGGAAUUCCGUGGUGGAGAAGUGAAAUUCGUAGAGAUCAGGAGGAACAUCGGAGGCGAAGGCGCCUGCCUGGCAAUGUAUUGACGCUGGAGGUGCGAAAGCCGUGGGGAGCAAACAGG
rnacentral:rRNA from 1 species